GGGUGCGAUCCUACCAGCACUAAUGCACCGGA
rnacentral:rRNA from 1 species